UGCAGUCGAAGGAGAAGGUAGAAGCUUGCUCUUACUGGAGACUGGCGGACGGGUGAGUAACGCGUAGAUAACCUGCCUAUAGCUGGGGGAUAACACUGCGAAAGUGGUGCUAAUACCGCAUAAUGCAGCGGGGCCGCAUGGCCAUAGUUGUUAAAGGUUUCGGCCGGCUAUAGAUGGGUCUGCGUGCUAUUAGUUAGUUGGUAGGGUAACGGCCUACCAAGGCGAUGAUAGCUAGGGGGUCUGAGAGGAUGAUCCCCCACACUGGGACCGAGACACGGCCCAGACUCCUACGGGAGGCAGCAGUGAGGAAUCUUGCGCAAUGGGCGAAAGCCUGACGCAGCCACGCCGCGUGCCGGAUGAAGGCCCUAUGGGUUGUAAACGGCUUUUACUAGGGAAGAACGAGAGGGUUUCGAUCUUCUGUGACGGUACCUAGUGAAUAAGCACCGGCUAACUCCGUGCCAGCAGCCGCGGUAAUACGGAGGGUGCAAGCGUUGUCCGGAAUCAUUGGGUGUAAAGGGUACGUAGGCGGGAGCCUAAGUCUGGGGUGAAAUCUUGCCGCUUAACGGUAAAAUGGCCCUGGAUACUGGGUUUCUUGAGUGCAGAAGAGGCAGGUGGAAUUCGUGGUGUAGCGGUGAAAUGCUUAGAUAUCACGAAGAACAUCAGUGGCGAAGGCGGCCUGCUGGUCUGCAACUGACGCUGAGGUACGAAAGCGUGGGGAGCGAACAGGAUUAGAUACCCUGGUAGUCCACGCCGUAAACGAUGCAUACUAGGUGUUGGCCUUUGGGCCAGUGCUGC
rnacentral:rRNA from 1 species